rnacentral:rRNA from 1 species
CCUACGGGGGGCAGCAGUGGGGGAUAUUGCACAAUGGGGGGAACCCUGAUGCAGCGACGCCGCGUGGGUGAAGAAGCGCCUCGGCGCGUAAAGCCCUGUCAGCAGGGAAGAAAAUGACGGUACCUGAAGAAGAAGCCCCGGCUAACUACGUGCCAGCAGCCGCGGUAAUACGUAGGGGGCAAGCGUUAUCCGGAUUUACUGGGUGUAAAGGGGGCGCAGACGGCUGUGCAAGCCAGGAGUGAAAGCCGGGGGCCCAACCCCGGGACUGCUCUUGGAACUGCGUGGCUGGAGUGCAGGAGGGGCAAGCGGAAUUCCUGGUGUAGCGGUGAAAUGCGUAGAUAUCAGGAGGAACACCAGUGGCGAAGGCGGCCUACUGGACUGCAACUGACGUUGAGGCCCGAAAGCGUGGGGAGCAAACAGGAUUAGAUACCCGGGUAGUC